rnacentral:rRNA from 1 species
GCUGGCGGCGUGCCUAAUACAUGCAAGUCGAGACGGACUGAUGGGAGCUUGCUCCCUGAAAUCAGCGGCGGACGGGUGAGUAACACGUGGGUAACCUGCCUGUAAGACUGGGAUAACUCCGGGAAACCGGGGCUAAUACCGGAUAGUUCUUUUCCUCGCAUGAGGAAAAGUGGAAAGGCGGCUUCGGCUGCCACUUACAGAUGGACCCGCGGCNCAUUAACUAGUUGGUGAGGUAACGGCUCACCAAGGCAACGAUGCCUAACCGACCUGAGAGGGUGAUCGGCCACACUGGGACUGAAACACNGCCCAAACUCCUACGGGAGGCAGCAGUAGGGAAUCUUCCGCAAUGGACGAAAGUCUGACGGAACAACGCCGCGUGAGUGAUGAAGGUUUUCGGAUCGUAAAGCUCUGUUGUUAGGGAAAAACAAGUGCCGUUCGAAUANGGCGGCCCCUUGACGGUACCUAACCAGAAAGCCACGGCUAACUACGUGCCAGCAGCCGCGGUAAUACCUAGGUGGCAAGCGUUGUCCCGAAUUAUUGGGCGUAAAGCGCGCGCAGGCGGUCUCUUAAGUCUGAUGUGAAAACCCACGGCUCAACCCUGGAGGGUCAUUGGAAACU